CUUUGUCUGAUGACGGCUAUGUGGUCUGCAACGAGGCUAGGAAAAAUCCAACUAACCCAACUAUGAAUUGGGACCUGAAUUUAAGAAGGUAGGCAACUUCUUAAGUCGUAUCAAGUCUAUUCCCAGUAUUGUUGAACUAGACAGCCUAAAGAUGAGUGGUGAUGGUGGUUUGGAUCUGGUAUCACCCUGAAGGACUGGUUCCAAAACUGAGCUUGCUCCAGUUUCAGUUUCAACAGGUUCUC